UACGAAGGGGGCUAGCGUUGCUCGGAAUCACUGGGCGUAAAGCGCACGUAGGCGGCUUCUUAAGUCAGGGGUGAAAUCCUGGAGCUCAACUCCAGAACUGCCUUUGAUACUGAGAAGCUUGAGUCCGGGAGAGGUGAGUGGAACUGCGAGUGUAGAGGUGAAAUUCGUAGAUAUUGGGAGGAACACCAGUGGCGAAGGCGGCUACCUGGACCGGUUCUGACGCUGAGGCGCGAAAGCGUGGGUAGCAAACAGG
rnacentral:rRNA from 1 species